CCAGCCUUUAGUUGGGGCAGUUGCUGAAUCCCGGGGAAGAGAGAGAGCCACUUUGGAGGGAGGUUAAUGCUGGUACUUAUUGAGGCCAGAAGAGGAUAUUGGAUGCCCUGGAGCUGGAGAUGCAGGCAGCUAUGAGCAUGACAUGGGUCUGGCUGCUACCAUGGCAACCGUUUGGGCUUCCUAAUAAAGGGUCACAUCACUCUUCAACGGAUGCUGGCAUUGUUUUAAGCAAGUUGCCAGUAUCCAGCCAAUUCAUCCUCGCAGCGGUGCAGCGAGUCAGCUACGAUUAUCUGCAUGCUACAGAACGUGAGGAGGGAGACCCUACUUCCACACCCACUAACGUCUCCGAUCCCCAAUCAUCGCAACUCUGGGCAUCUUCCUGAGUGUCGUCGAGCCCAAGCGUUGUUCCGGCCUGUGCUUCAAGGGGCUCUCAAGUGAAUUCUGAUA